AAAGCCAGGUUCACUGUUCAUAGAUGGAACUUCCAAAAUUGAGAGACAGGGUCGCAUAGUUCAGUGGCUUGUCAGCAAGGCCAUUAAUUGGCUGAGAUUUCUCAGUGAGCAUUUAAAGAUGAUUCAUGCUAUAAAAUGCUAAUCCCUGUCUCCCAAAUGGUUGGCCCCUGGGGGGGAGGGGAAACUACUGUGUAGGAAAACAUCUUUAAACUUGAUUGUCUUUUGAAAAAUGAUUUCUUCCUGACAAAUCUGAACCGUUUUUGAAAAUGUAACUUGUCCCCAGAGUCAUUCUUGCUUCUUAAGUGUUUUAGUGGAUUGCCAGGAGUUUGUUCUGAUUCUCAGGAUUCAUCAACAUGGUACAGGCUUUUUUGUAGUUGCUGUCCUGUGGACCAGAAAUCGAAGUCAAGACUCAUUUAUUUGUUGUUGCUCAUCACAUCAUUCAAGAGUAGCUGAGUGUUUAUUUUUUGGAAGCUCUGUGUUAGAGGUUUAUAUUCAACAAGCAACUUUAUCUGCAAAAGCACACGGGUACUGUGGGGGUCAAGCCUCUGCUUUGCAUAAGCCACCAGAAGUGCUCCCACCUGAGCAAUGCAAGGUACCCCGCUGGCAUUGACACCCAGGGAAGAAUUAACACCUAGAUUUCCUUUUCUCAUUUUAGUUAAGAAAUGCCAUGGUGAAUCGAAAGACGGGGAAGUUUUCCAUGGAGGUGAAGAAGACAGUGGACAAAGGGGUACAUUUUUCUCAAACAUUCUUGCCACUUAAUUUAAAACAAACCACUGUGAAAAAUUAGCUUUGAAAACUCUAUCUGGAAUAAAUCUCUUUCAAUGAGAUCAUUUUUCUCUUGUCUUUACUUAUCUCAAACAAGACUCAUGUAGUACUGUUAACCUGAUCACAGUGUGCCCAUUUAUUUUUUAUUGACUUCUGAAAACAUCACCUAGCAGACUAACCAUGUUUUCUUUUCUCUACGACUUCUUUUUUCAAUCUAGAAACGGGUUUUGGUGAUGACAAAUGACUACUAUUACACAGACAUCAAGGGUACUCCUUUCAGGUAGAGCUGACCAUAAUACAUGGACAUUCCAUCAGACCCAUCAGUGUGUUUGUACAAAACCUGCUGACGCUCUCAGAGCUCAUCAUCUGAAGAUAACAAACACCCUGCCGAAAGGCUGGAAAGAUUUAGGUGUGGCGCUCUCCAGAGGCCAUGGGAAAUAUUUCUUUCGCGGGAAUGUGACCAUUGAAGAAGGUUUGCAUGACUUAGAGCACCCGGAUGUGUCCUUGGCCGAUGAAUGGUCCUACUGCAACACUGACCUGCACGCUGAGCACCGUCAUCUGUCUCAACUAGAAGCUAUUAAGCUCUACCUCAAAGGCAAAGAGCCUCUGCUCCAGUGUGACAAAGAAUUGAUCCAAGAAGUCCUUUUUGAUGCUGUAGUGAGUGCACCCAUCGAAGCCUAUUGGACCAGCCUGGCCCUCAACAAAUCUGAGAAUUCUGACAAGGGCGUAGAGGUUGCCUUCCUCGGCACUCGCACAGGCCUCUCAAGAAUCAACCUGUUUGUUGGGGCUGAGCAGCUCACCAGUCAGGACUUCCUGAAAGCUGGCGACAAAGAGAACAUUUUUAAUGCAGAUCAUUUCCCUCUUUGGUACAGAAGAGCUGCUGAGCAGAUUCCAGGGAGCUUCGUCUAUUCCAUCCCAUUCAGCACAGGAACAGUCAACAAAAGCAAUGUGGUGACAGCAAGUACCUCCAUCCAGCUCCUGGAUGAACGGAAAUCUCCUGUGGUGGCAGCUGUAGGCAUUCAGAUGAAACUUGAAUUUUUCCAAAGGAAGUUCUGGACUGCCAGCAGACAGUGCGCCUCUCUGGAUGGCAAAUGCUCCAUCAGCUGUGAUGAUGAGACUGUGAACUGUUACCUCAUAGACAAUAAUGGGUUUAUUCUGGUGUCUGAAGACUACACACAGACUGGAGAUUUUUUUGGUGAGGUUGAGGGAGCAGUGAUGAACAAAUUGUUAACAAUGGGCUCCUUUAAAAGAAUUACCCUUUAUGACUACCAAGCCAUGUGUAGAGCCAACAAAGAGAGCAGUGACAGUGCCCAUGGGCUCCUGGAUCCUUAUAAUGCCUUCCUCUCUGCAGUGAAGUGGAUAAUGACAGAACUUGUCUUGUUUCUGGUGGAAUUUAACCUCUGCAGUUGGUGGCACUCUGAUAUGACAGCUAAAGACUGUGAAAAGACCUUGUGAAUCCCUUUCAAAUUAUCUUCAAAUCACUUCAACACAUCUGAGAGGUAGGCACUAGUAGAAUUUGACACCAGCCCUCUCUGAAGCACUGAAGUCAUACAGAUCAGUGGAUACACAAUGAUAAGUUGAUACAUGCCCAGAAAUUGAAACAGACCCUGGAGCCUUGUGACACUGAAUAUCCAGCCUUUGUCUCUGAGCGCACCAUCAAGGAGACCACAGGGAACAUUGCUUGUGAAGACUGC